GAUGAACGCUGACAGAAUGCUUAACACAUGCAAGUCUACUUGAACUUCGGUUUGGGUGGCGGACGGGUGAGUAACGCGUAAAGAACUUGCCUCACAGAUAGGGACAACAUUUGGAAACGAAUGCUAAUACCUGAUAUUAUGAUUUUAGGGCAUCCUAGAAUUAUGAAAGCUAUAUGCACUGUGAGAGAGCUUUGCGUCCUAUUAGCUAGUUGGGGAGGUAACGGCUACCAAGGGCGAUGAUGGGUAGCGGGCCUGAGAGGGUGAUCGGCCACAAGGGGACGGAGACACGGCCCUUACUCCAACGGGAGGCAGCGGGGGGGAAUAUUGGACAAUGGACCAAGAGUGUGAUCCAGCAAUUCUGUGUGCACGAUGAAGUUUUUCGGAAUGUAAAGUGCUUUCAGUUGGGAAGGAAAAAAUGACGGUACCGGCAGAAGAAGUGACGGCUAAAUACGUG
rnacentral:rRNA from 1 species